rnacentral:rRNA from 1 species
UCCGCCGCGCGCGUCAGAAACUUGAGGAAACCUGUCCCUAGUACGAGAGGACCGGGACGGACGAACCUCUGGUGUACCAGUUGUUCCACCAGGAGCACGGCUGGAUAGCUACGUUCGGACAGGAUAACCGCUGAAAGCAUCUAAGCGGGAAACCUAUUCCAAGACCAGGUUUCUUACCCUUUUAGAGGGAUAAGGUCACCCACAGACUAUGGGUUCAAUAGGCCAGACCUGCAAGCGUAGUAAUACGUUCAGGGAACUGGCACUAAUCGACCGAAAACUUACUAAUAA